AGGAGCUGCCAGAGGUUCAGGAAUGAGGGCUGAAAGCGAAUUGAAAGCUCUGCAUGUAAAGGUAUGAUGUCCUUCUGGAAAGAUCCUUCCUGAGAGCACGAGCCAAGGUGGUGAGAAGAAGCCUGGACCUUCUGGACCUUCUGGCUGUACUUUUCCCAAGACACAUUUGGUCAUUCUGCGUCUGAUCCAUGCUCAUUGUCAACACCGUAAUUCAGGUGCAUGGUCUUUCUUGUUCAUCGUCCAGCCACCACAUGCAGGUAAGACCAUUGAAAUGCCAUGACUCGAGUCAAGGGCCCUGCAGUCCCCAAAGUGACACCUUUGCUCUUUGCUAACACUCUUAAAAAGGUCUUUUGAAGCAGAUUUUCCAAAUGCAAUGUACCCAUUUGAUUUAUUGAUGGGUGUUGAUAAUGGAUCCAAGUAUAACAAAAAGUAAGUAUUUUUUAUUCAUCAUGAUGUUGCUUAUUGGUCCAGUUGUAUAUAUUUUAUUAUUUCAUGUUUCCGUAUAACGCAUCCUGAAGGCCUUUGGUCUUCAUCAAUACGUGUUUCUAGUCUUCUCUCUUAGCCAGCAAGUUUCUAUCAUCUGCCUAUCGCACGUUCUUAACGGAUGUUCCUCUAAUCCUGACGCUGUG